rnacentral:lncRNA from 1 species
CAGCUGGACUCAGUUUAGAUGAUCCCAAUUUUGUUGGCAACAUCCAAAGCAUCAUAGUCAGGAGCCAGUCGAACAUACGCUUUCUUUUUCUCCAUCGGGCCUGAUCAGAGUGUUGACCUUGGCCACAUCAAUGUCAUAGAGCUUCUUCACAGCCUGUUUGAUCUGGUGCUUGUUGGCCUUGACGUCCACAAUGAACACAAGAGUGUUGUUGUCUUCUAUUUUCUUCAUGGCUGACUUGGUAGUCAGGGGGAACUUGAUGAUGGCAUAGUGGCCAAGUUUGUUUCUCUUGGGGGCGCUCUUUCAAGGAUAUUUGGGCUGUCCUUGGAGACGCAGUGUCUUGGGCCAUCGGAAUGUAGGUGACGUGCAGAUCUUCUUUUUUUUAUGACUGUGGACACCUUUCAGCACUGCUUUCUUGGCCUUCAAAGCCUUUGCUUUGGCUUCAGCUUUGGGAGGGGCAGGGGCUUCCUUCUUUGCCUUCGGGGCCAUCUUCAUGAAAGGAGGC